rnacentral:rRNA from 1 species
AUUGAACGCUGGCGGCGUGCUUAACACAUGCAAGCCGAGCGGUAACAGGCGUAGUAAUACGUGCUGACGAGCGGCGAACGGGUGCGUAAUACAUGGGAAUCUGCCCUUUGGUGGGGAAUAACCCGGCGAAAGCCGGGCUAAUGCCGCAUGAGAUCUGCGGAUGAAAGCGGGGGAUCGUAAGACCUCGCGCCGAUGGAUGAGCCCAUGUCGGAUUAGCUUGUGGUGAGGUAACGGCUCACCAAGGCGACGAUCCGUAGCUGGUCUGAGAGGACGGCCAGCCACACUGGGACUGAGACACGGCCCAGACUCCUACGGGAGGCAGCAGUGGGGAAUAUUGGACAAUGGGCGAAAGCCUGAUCCAGCGACGCCGCGUGUGUGAAGAAGGCCUGGCGGGUUGUAAAGC